AUACCAUUUAACAAGCCAAGUCAGGGAAGCCAGGAAUCAGAAUAGUCAGGAAUAGCCAAGGUCAAAAUACUGGGAAUAUCAAAAACAGGACAAGGAAACGCACUCUCAGGAUUCAGGAACCAGGAACGAAAACCACAAUAACCUGGGUUAAAUAUCCCUCUGGCCUCUGACUGCAGAACGUGUGUGUGUGAGACCCUGGGGGGGCAGAGCUAUAUCUAGCUGCGAC